rnacentral:rRNA from 1 species
AGCAGCCGCGGUAAUUCCAGCUCCAAUAGCGUAUAUUAAAGUUGUUGCAGUUAAAAAGCUCGUAGUUGAAUUUUAGGCCUGGCCGGGCGGUCCGUCUUUGGCGAGUACUGUCUGUUGUCGGGUCUUCCUUCUGGUGAACCAAUAUGUCCUUUAUUGGGUGUGCUGGGGAGCCAGGACCAAUUACCUUGAAAAAAUUAGAGUGUUUAAAGCAGGCUUUUGCUUGAAUAGAUUAGCAUGGAAUAAUAGAAUAGGACGUUGUGGUUCUAUUUUGUUGGUUUCUAGGACCACCGUAAUGAUUAAUAGGGAUAGUUGGGGGCAUUAGUAUUCAAUUGUCAGAGGUGAAAUUCUUGGAUUUAUUGAAGACUAACUAUUGCGAAAGCAUUUGCCAAGGAUGUUUUCAUUAAUCAAGAACGAAAGUUAGGGGAUCGAAGACGAUCAGAUACCGU